GAUGAACGCUAGCGGCAGGCCUAAUACAUGCAAGUCGAACGGUGUCUUCGGACAUAGUGGCGCACGGGUGCGUAACACGUAUGCAACCUACCUUACAUUGGGGGAUAGCCUUUCGAAAGGGAGAUUAAUACCGCAUAAGACAGUAGCUGGGCAUCCAACAGCUGUUAAAGAUUUAUCGAUGUAAGCUGGGCAUGCGUCCAAUUAGCUAGUUGGUGAGGUAACGGCUCACCAAGGCAAUGAUUGGUAGGGGAACUGAGAGGUCAAUCCCCCACACUGGCACUGAGAUACGGGCCAGACUCCUACGGGAGGCAGCAGUAGGGAAUAUUGGGCAAUGGGCGCAAGUCUGACCCAGCCAUGCCGCGUGCAGGAUGAAGGCGUUAUGCGUUGUAAACUGCUUUUAUACAGGAAGAAACGACUCUUGCGAGAGGCAUUGACGGUACUGUAUGAAUAAGCACCGGCUAACUCCGUGCCAGCCGCCGCGGUAAAAC
rnacentral:rRNA from 1 species